AUCUGAGGACCCCAAAUUUGGGGAGCUAGUCCAGAACCGUCCAGCCAACAUCCUAGAUUUUUUUGGGAUUUUUUGGGGCCCCCGGGACCCCUCUAGAUGGGGUGAGGAAUGUAGUGUUGGGGGAAUCUGACUGGGGCAUUGCAGCUGCCUCUCCCGCCGAGUUGGAGACGGAUGGGCUGGGACGGGUUUGGGGGGGGGGUGUCCCCAAUUCUGACUGGGAGUGGAGGAGCCCCCUCAUGUGCUCUCUUGUGGGGGUCCCCCCUCCCUAGGGCACUCCCCACUCCCUGAGCCAGCCGAGAGGAAGGAGGCCAGCGAUGCGACUGGGGCGGCUCCUUUCUCCUGCACCCCAAAUGUGAGGGAUGCACCCCAAAUUUUGUUCCCUUCAAAAUAGGGGACCAGGAUCUCAGGGGAGAGUAGCUGAGGGUCCUCGUUUUCCUGAAGCCUUGCAGUCACUUAGGGCAAAUGGAGCCUGAAGAGUGGAGUCCAACUGAGAGUGGGAAAGGCCCGUCUUCUACUUCUCUUCUGGGAGAGAUGUAUGAAUGUGGAAGGCUACCAGUUCUCCAGGGACUUUGUUGCUAACAAAACUAGCAACAAAGUAGGAAAGAUGUUGAGCUGGAAGGGAGUUUGAGGAAGAUGGAACAAUGGGUAUGGAGGAAGAAAGCUGCCCACCCGCCCUUUCUCUGCCAGCCAACCCUCCCUCACACUGUC